rnacentral:misc_RNA from 1 species
ACCCUCUGCGGGCUUAUGACUGAACGCCUCUAAGUCAGAAUCCCGUCCAGAGUCGCGACGAUAUCUUGCGCUCGCGCGUUGUUGAGGCUGAUUAUAAGCGCGUAUGCGCGAGUGUUAAGCCACGGCAGACGACCAUAAUGCCAUGCCGUUAUCGCCGGCUGGCUGGUCGAAGAGAUAACUCUUCAGAAGCAAGGUGCGGGCGUGAAAUCGCUGGUAGACGACCCGUUUUUCGGUCUGGGUGUUGUGCGUAGUAGAGCAGCCACCACACUGCGAUCUAUUGAGACUUAUCCUGUGACCCGUGGAUUUGUUCGCAACCGAUGCUGCGCUCGAUUCCUCCUCACGGAAGGAAGCCUGAGCAGUAAGGUCUAAGAGACGGACACGUUCACGGUAAAGUUGCAGGGGUAGCUGUUAAAGCUAACAGGGUCUCGGUACGUCAAAGUGUGCGGGCUCGCCUUGCACCGAUUGUUUCUUUUUUUUUCAAAGUCCAUCUGGAAAACAUUGUCUCUAAUUCAGAGCGGCAAAAAUCUAAGACUUCAACACAGAAGCGAGUAUAUAUGGAUGGCAACUUCGUAUUUACGGUUUAACACCACGUUUCUGGGCUACUUCUUGCCCCUUCUUCAGGUGAUUCAGAAGCCAGUGAACUGAUACUAGAGAGACUGCAUACGGUCAUAACAGCCGUCUGUGGGUAAGUGUAAGAGUCAACAAACGUGGGGAAACGAAAAGAGUAACCACAACACACUUUAAUAAUAACCCUAACCCUAACCCUGACACACGCAUCAGUAAGACUUUUUUUUAUCAAAUGAACGUUAGAAAUAUUGUCUUUAAUUCCAGGAGCUGAAAAAUGUCAAGUUUUCACCUUCCAACAAUCUUAGAUAAUGUAUGGUCAUAGUUAGAAAUGGAGCUAGGGUUAGAGCUAGGGUUAGCUAGGGUUAGGGGCUUAGCUAGGGUUAGAGCUAGGGUUACCUAGGGUUAGGGGCUUAGCUAGCGUUAGAGCUAGGGUUAGCUAGGGUUAGGGGCUUAGCUAGCGUUAGAGCUAGGGUUACCUAGGGUUAGGGGCUUAGCUGGCGUUAGAGCUAGGGUUACCUAGGGUUAGGGGCUUAGCUAGCGUUAGAGCUAGGGUUAGCUAGGGUUAGGGGCUUAGCUAGCGUUAGAGCUAGGGUUAGCUAGGGUUAGGGGCUUAGCUAGCGUUAGAGCUAGGGUUAGGGGCUUAGCUAGGGUUAGAGCUAGGGUUAGGGGCUUAGCUAGGGUUAGAGCUAGGGUUAGGGGCUUAGCUAGGGUUAGAGCUAGGGUUAGGACAGGUUGGAGCUAGGGGGAGGGUGAUGGGUUAGGGUUGUUGUUAGAAUUACAAAUCGCUUUAGAACAUGUUUCAUAUCGUGCACAUGCAGCUUUAAAGCAUAUGUUAUCUUAUGACAUGCAUGUAAGUGUACAAGCUGUGAGAGGUAAUAGAAACUGCAUGUUGAAGUUAUUAAAUAGAAUACAUGUUGUUGCUUUUGUUGCUGCUGUUUGAUGCACUCAGCAAUACUGAAUGCAAAUGAAGGUGGUGUACAACUAAAGUAUGGAUAGAAUUCACAAUUAACUAGGUGAGUUGGUGCUGUCGGAUUUAUAUUAACGUGUGAGCGACCUGUAUUAUUUGAACGUUGAACGUACCUCUUCAUUGACUCUAAGCUGAACUGGAACUCGAACACUGAAGCCCUAUACAAAAAGUGUCAACAACGUCUUCAUCUCAUGCGUAAACUGAGAUCUUUUAAUGUUAACCCAUCUGUGAUGUCAUCUGUUUAUGUAGCAUUUAUUCAGAGUAUUUUAACAUUUUCCUUCGAUUGUUGGUAAGGGUCUCUCUCGGUUCAUCUCAAAUCUAAAAUAGACAAAAUUGUUAACACUGCAAGUAAAAUCGCUGGAGUCAGAUUUGAAUGUUUAUCAUCAAUAUAUGAGCGGCAAAUCGUGACUCAAGCUGUCAAAAUCAUAUCUGACCGCACUCACUACUUAAAUUCGGAAUACAACCUUCUCCCUUCAGGCCGCCGAUACAAAGUUCCAAUUGUGAAAACUAAGAGAGCCCGUACAUCCUUUAUUCCAAGUACCAUGUUUCUCUUUUAAACAAAUGUGAAGAUGCCGAAUCAAAGAAUUUGUGUAAAUAUGUUUGGUAUUUCGGUAAUGUGUCAGUAGCUCUGCUGAUGUAACACACAUUCCUGAAAAGGCAUUAAAGUAUUAUUCUAUUCUAUUCUAUUCAUGUGUAAUCAAUGUUAUGUGCCUCAUAUCUGUACUUCACAUUAUAUACAGGAGUAUAGUUACGAAUGUGUUUCAGCGUGGUUUUAAGUCAGAUUGGCUUUUUGGGAGACGUAUCGACACCAUUCAUGACCUGUGUUGUUGGCUGUACCACUGAACCACUCAACAGCCGUCACUGUGCUUUAUGUACAUGCCACUACUGUGUACAGCCCGCAGUUUUACUGCUCCAGGACGUGGCCAGCUGCAGAGCUUCGUUCAUACCAGGCUAUAUGUAAGGGCUGCUAUCGACACCCAGACUGUGUUUUCAUGUUAGAUAUAUGUUACAAUAGCUGCACUUAUUCAUGUAAUAUGCGUUGCUGUAAGUUAUAUGAAUAUCUAUGAACAUAUAUGCAUAUAUUUGUCAUAUUAAUGUGCCUACUGCGUUAUCACUGAAUAUUUUUUGGUUAAUAUUACACUACUGUUUCAUGAAAAAGAGUUAAAAUCAUACGAAAUGGUUGCCAAAAGUUAUAUGCAGGCGAGAUGCAUCUGUAUGUGACAUUUCAUUGCGUUCUGUCCCGUAGCGUAGGAAAUAACACGUUUUUAGUGACUGCUUUCGUGGAAAACAGGACCAUUUUUCUUCUUUUGAAGGCCAUAACUCCCAAACUAAGAGUGUUAUCGUUAAAAUGAUUGCUUGUGAGGAAAGUACAAUGUAUAACGGAGAUACAUGCAAAAUUUCGUGAACAUCGUCCGAAUAGGUUCAGAAAUAAUAACUUUUCCGUACGCGAGGGUUGUUCAGGGUGACGGGCUAACUAUCCAACGUAUUGGCGGGGUUGCUGAAUAUUGUGAAGGAGGCCAGACCCGCCUGCAGUGCAACGUUUCGUGUUGUACGGCAGCUCUCGGUGUGUCUGGCGCGGUGCGCCGGGUGUUGGUAAUCCGGAAUGCGGGCGGGUGUCUCUUCGGGGAUACUACGACGCAUGAACGCUGCUCGUGUGGGAAGAUAUUUGCGUGGGAUCUCGGUUCAGUUUUAGGUGCCUCGCCCUUGACUCUCCGUGUAUCGUGCGCUGCUCCUCGGUAGUACGCUGGGUCUCGAUCCUCGUCUCCGUGGCAAAUCAUCUGACACACAGCAACGUUCGCAAGACCCCCUUCGCUUACUGGCGACCAGUGCUCCCAUGACGAAAGGGAACGGUCGACACACGUCGCUCUCGUUUCCCGGGGUGGCCCUGCCUUAUCGUUAGGAAGGGACGUCCUCGUCGCCGGGAGUCAGAAAACGGCUCGUGGUAGACUGAGAGAGGUUGAGAAUGCAACUGCCGAAGUUGCAGCUAGGCGAUCGGGUCGCACACUCGCUCGUCUUUGCUACCAACUGCUUGUAUAAGCAAUCUGAUUGUCGUGAGGAAGGCAGACCCCGGCACCCGGGGUUCGUCUGCGCUCGGUACGAGAAUCAAACCGCCGACGUCAAAGCAGCCCGUGGCGUCACCCCGCUCUAUCGUUUCGGGUCGGGCUUUGUGAGAAUCUGUCGCUUUUCCACCCCGAGAACCCUCUCGGCGGAGGGGAUUGUGGCAGGGACGGCUGGCCGCCUCGGUCGGGUUGAGCUUUUUACGGGACUCGCUCGUGUGUUCCGGGGCUCUACUCGCCGGCGGUUCGGACGUCCCGGUCUC